UGGGGAAUAUUGGACAAUGGGCGCAAGCCUGAUCCAGCCAUGCCGCGUGAGUGAUGAAGGCCCUAGGGUUGUAAAGCUCUUUCACCGGUGAAGAUAAUGACGGUAACCGCAGAAGAAGCCCCGGCUAACUUCGUGCCAGCAGCCGCGGUAAUACGAAGGGGGCUAGCGUUGUUCGGAUUUACUGGGCGUAAAGCGCACGUAGGCGGACUUUUAAGUCAGGGGUGAAAUCCCGGGGCUCAACCCCGGAACUGCCUUUGAUACUGGAAGUCUUGAGUAUGGUAGAGGUGAGUGGAAUUCCGAGUGUAGAGGUGAAAUUCGUAGAUAUUCGGAGGAACACAAGUGGCGAAGGCGGCUCACUGGACCAUAACUGAAGCUGAGGUGCGAAAGCGUGGGGAGCAAACAGG
rnacentral:rRNA from 1 species